GCACAAUGGGCGCAAGCCUGAUGCAGCCAUGCCGCGUGUAUGAAGAAGGCCUUCGGGUUGUAAAGUACUUUCAGCAGUGAGGAAGGUGGGUAGUGUUAAUAGCAUACUCAUUUGACGUUAGCUGCAGAAGAAGCACCGGCUAACUCCGUGCCAGCAGCCGCGGUAAUACGGAGGGGUGCGAGCGUUAAUCGGAAUUACUGGGCGUAAAGCGCAUGCAGGUGGUUUGUUAAGUCAGAUGUGAAAGCCCGGGGCUCAACCUCGGAAUUGCAUUUGAAACUGGCAAACUAGAGUACUGUAGAGGGGGGUAGAAUUUCAGGUGUAGCGGUGAAAAUGCGUAGAGAUCUGAAGGAAUACCGGUGGCGAAGGCGGCCCCCUGGACAGAUACUGACACUCAGAUGCGAAAGCGUGGGGAGCAAACAGGAUUAGAUACCCUGGUAG
rnacentral:rRNA from 1 species